UACGUAGGGGGGCAAGCGUUGUCCGGAUUUAUUGGGCGUAAAGCGCACGUAGGCGGCUUUUGUAAGUUAGAGGUGAAAAGCCCCGGGGCUCAACCCCCGGAAUUGCCUUUAAGACUGCAUCGCUUGAAUUGUGGAGAGGUAAGUGGAAUUCCGAGUGUAGAGGUGAAAUUCGUAGAUAUUCGGAAGAACACCAGUGGCGAAGGCGACUUACUGGACACAUAUUGACGCUGAGGUGCGAAAGCGUGGGGAGCAAACAGG
rnacentral:rRNA from 1 species